rnacentral:tRNA from 1 species
GCGGGAGUAGCUCAGUUGGUAGAGCGCAACCUUGCCAAGGUUGAGUUCGAGACUCUUCUCCCGCU